GCGAGGAUGGCGGAACUGGCAGACGCGCUGGUCUUAGAAGCCAGUGGGAAUCCCGUGAGGGUUCGAGUCCCUCUCCUCGCA
rnacentral:tRNA from 1 species